UUUACAGUUUGCAGUGUGUACAUCUAUGUAUUGAAUAACAUACAUGCAACACAUAUUAUUAAGCUGCUGGUGAUGGUGUUGUGAUGAUGCCACUGUUAAUGCCACGGGAUCUGAAGAGGAUUAAGGACUUGGUGGGGUUAUACCAAGUAAAUUAAAAAAUAAUGAAUUUCUGCUCUGGCGUCGGCGGUACAAGGAAUCGUCUUUUUAAAACUGUUUAAUCACCGUUGACUCUAAACUAAGAACUGUUGUUGAACUAAACGUGUAAUGUCCACAUCGAGCGUAAUAUAACAAAUUUUUUUUUAA